UACGUGGGGGGCAAGCGUUGUCCGGAAUCACUGGGCGUAAAGCGCGCGCAGGCGGUCAUUUACGUCUGGGGUGAAAGCCCGGAGCUCAACUCCGGGAUUGCCUUGGAUACGGGAUGACUUGAGGAUCGGAGAGGCAAGGGGAAUUCCACGUGUAGCGGUGAAAUGCGUAGAGAUGUGGAGGAACACCUGUGGCGAAGGCGCCUUGCUGGCCGAUUUCUGACGCUGAGGCGCGAAAGCGUGGGGAGCAAACAGG
rnacentral:rRNA from 1 species